rnacentral:rRNA from 1 species
UACGAAGGGGGCGAGCGUUGUUCGGAAUUACUGGGCGUAAAGGGCGCGUAGGCGGCGACUCUAGUCAGAUGUGAAAGUCCUGGGCUUAACCUGGGGACUGCAUUUGAUACUGGGUUGCUUGAAUUCGGGAGAGGAUAGCGGAAUUCCCAGUGUAGAGGUGAAAUUCGUAGAUAUUGGGAAGAACACCGGUGGCGAAGGCGGCUAUCUGGACCGACAUUGACGCUGAGGCGCGAAAGCGUGGGGAGCAAAUAGG